GGACUACUAGGGUUUCUAAUCCUGUUUGCUCCCCACGCUUUCGAGCCUCAGUGUCAGUUACAGUCCAGAAAGUCGCCUUCGCCACUGGUGUUCUUCCUAAUAUCUACGCAUUUCACCGCUACACUAGGAAUUCCACUUUCCUCUCCUGCACUCUAGACUUCCAGUUUGAAAUGCAGUUCUCGGGUUGAGCCCGAGUAUUUCACAUCUCACUUAAAAGUCCACCUACGCUCCCUUUACGCCCAGUAAAUCCGGACAACGCUUGCCACCUACGUAUUACCGCGGCGGCUGGCAC
rnacentral:rRNA from 1 species